rnacentral:tRNA from 1 species
GAGCUUGUUUGGCAAAACGAGAACUGCUAAUUCCUCGUACCCAUGGUUCAAUCCCAUGGCUUGCUCG